rnacentral:rRNA from 1 species
GAUGAACGCUGGCGGCGUGCCUAAUACAUGCAAGUCGGGCGAACGGACGAGAAGCUUGCUUCUCUGAUGUUAGCGGCGGACGGGUGAGUAACACGUGGAUAACCUACCUAUAAGACUGGGAUAACUUCGGGAAACCGGAGCUAAUACCGGAUGAUAUUUUGAACCGCAUAGUUCAAAAGUGAAAGACGGUCUUGCUGUCACUUAUAGAUGGAUCCGCGCUGCAUUAGCUAGUUGGUAAGGUAACGGCUUACCAAGGCAACGAUGCAUAGCCGACCUGAGAGGGUGAUCGGCCACACUGGAACUGAGACACGGUCCAGACUCCUACGGGAGGCAGCAGUAGGGAAUCUUCCGCAAUGGGCGAAAGCCUGACGGAGCAACGCCGCGUGAGUGAUGAAGGUCUUCGGAUCGUAAAACUCUGUUAUUAGGGAAGAACAUAUGUGUAAGUAACUGUGCACAUCUUGACGGUACCUAAUCAGAAAGCCACGGCUAACUACGUG